GGAGAAUUAGCUCAGCUGGGAGAGCAUAUGCCUUACAAGCAGAGGGUCGGCGGUUCGAACCCGUCAUUCUCCACCA
rnacentral:tRNA from 1 species